rnacentral:rRNA from 1 species
GACGAACGCUGGCGGCGUGCUUAACACAUGCAAGUCGAACGGAAAGGCCCCUUCGGGGGUACUCGAGUGGCGAACAGGUGAGUAACACGUGAGUAACCUGCCCUUGACUUCGGGAUAACUUCAGGAAACUGGGGCUAAUACCGGAUAGGAAUCCUUGCUGCAUGGUGGGGGUUGGAAAGCUUCGGCGGUUUUGGAUGGACUCGCGGCUUAUCAGCUUGUUGGUGGGGUAGUGGCUUACCAAGGCUUUGACGGGUAGCCGGCCUGAGAGGGCGACCGGCCACAUUGGGACUGCGCUACGGCCCAGACUCCUACGGGAGGCAGCAGUGGGGAAUAUUGCACAAUGGGCGGAAGCCUGAUGCAGCAACGCCGCGUGCGGGAUGACGGCCUUCGGGUUGUAAGCCGCUUUCAGCAGGGGCGAAGCUUGUGGUGACGGUACCUGCAGAAGAAGCACCGGCUAACUACGUG